GUUGUCGUUUGUUUGUGUGUUACAUAUUUGUUUUUCGUUCCUUUUUUGUACAUAAAUAAGGCCGCUGGUUUUCUCGUUUGAAUUUUUUUACAUCGUCAUUUCGGGGCCUUUUAAAGCUGAGUAUGCGGUAUGGGCUUUGCUCGUUGUUGUAGGCCGUACGGUGACCUAUAGCGUCGUUAAUUUCUGUGUCAUUUUGGUCUCUUGUGGAGAGUUGUCUCAACAUGGCAAUCAUACCACAUCUUUUUUUUUUUGUAAUCAAUGAAUUUUGUAAAAUAUUUAAUGAAUGGAGAAUUUCAGAAAAGAUAUCAAAAGGUUACAUGAAUAAUUUUAGCGCUUAUCUGUAUAUUACUAUAUAAAUAAAGUGUAUUUACUUUCAAUUCUUAGUUUAGUAAUCGAUCCAUG
rnacentral:lncRNA from 1 species